rnacentral:rRNA from 1 species
GACGAACGCUGGCGGCGUGCCUAAUACAUGCAAGUGGGACGCAAGGAAACACACUGUGCUUGCACACCGUGUUUUCUUGAGUCGCGAACGGGUGAGUAACGCGUAGGUAACCUGCCUAUUAGCGGGGGAUAACUAUUGGAAACGAUAGCUAAUACCGCAUAAUAUUAAUUAUUGCAUGAUAAUUGAUUGAAAGAUGCAAGCGCAUCACUAGUAGAUGGACCUGCGUUGUAUUAGCUAGUUGGUAAGGUAAGAGCUUACCAAGGCGACGAUACAUAGCCGACCUGAGAGGGUGAUCGGCCACACUGGGACUGAGACACGGCCCAGACUCCUACGGGAGGCAGCAGUAGGGAAUCUUCGGCAAUGGACGAAAGUCUGACCGAGCAACGCCGCGUGAGGGAAGAAGGUUUUCGGAUCGUAAAGCUCUGUUGUAAGUCAAGAACGUGUGUGAGAGUGGAAAGUUCACACAGUGACGGUAGCUUACCAGAAAGGGACGGCUAACUACGUG